rnacentral:rRNA from 1 species
AUUGAACGCUGGCGGCAUGCCUUACACAUGCAAGUCGAACGGUAACAGGUCUUCGGAUGCUGACGAGUGGCGAACGGGUGAGUAAUACAUCGGAACGUGCCCGAUCGUGGGGGAUAACGGAGCGAAAGCUUUGCGAAUACCGCAUACGAUGUACUGAUGAAAGCAGGGGACCGCAAGGCCUUGCGCGGACGGAGCGGCCGAUGGCAGAUUUGGUAGGUGGUGGGUUAAAAGCUUACCAAGCCGACGAUCUGUAGCUGGUCUGAGAGGACGACCAGCCACACUGGGACUGGGAGACGGCCCAGACUCCUACGGGAGGCAGCAGUGGGGAAUUUUGGACAAUGGGCGCAAGCCUGAUCCAGCCAUGCCGCGUGCAGGAUGAAGGCCUUCGGGUUGUAAACUGCUUGUGUACGGAACGAAACGGCUCUUUCUAAUGAAGAGGGCUAAUGACGGUACCGUAAGAAUAAGCACCGGCUAACUACGUGCCAGCCGCCGCAGUAACAC